rnacentral:misc_RNA from 1 species
CCCAAUCCAACCUUUUCUCCAAGCAAAUGGCGUCGUCUCUCUUCCCAUUUCUACCUUGAGAUUCCAAUUGAAAUCCCUAAUUCCCAAAAUCCUAACCCUAAUAUCACCUCACUUUCUUUAUAAUUUAAAGAUUCUCUCGCUUUUGAUUUUGGUAUUGAUUUGGUAGAUGGCCCGUGGUGAUUCAGCGACUUCACUAGCUCCUGGGUUCCGAUUCCAC